rnacentral:rRNA from 1 species
UCUACGGGUGGCAGCAGUGAGGAAUAUUGGUCAAUGGACGAGAGUCUGAACCAGCCAAGUAGCGUGAAGGAUGACUGCCCUAGGGGUUGUAAACUUCUUUUAUAUGGGAGUAAAUGAUUCCACGUGUGGGAUUUUGUAUGUACCAUAUGAAUAAGGAUCGGCUAACUCCGUGCCAGCAGCCGCGGUAAUACGGAGGAUCCGAGCGUUAUCCGGAUUUAUUGGGUUUAAAGGGAGCGUAGGUGGAUUGUUAAGUCAGUUGUGAAAGUUUGCGGCUCAACCGUUAAAUUGCAGUUGAAACUGGCAGUCUUGAGUACAGUAGAGGUGGGCGGAAUUCGUGGUGUAGCGGUGAAAUGCUUAGAUAUCACGAAGAACUCCGAUUGCGAAGGCAGCUUACUGGACUGCAACUGACACUGAGGCUCGAAAGUGUGGGUAGCAAACAGGAUUAGAUACCCCAGUAGUC